CGACGAGUUUGAUCCUGGCUCAGGAUGAACGCUAGCGGCAAGCUUAAUACAUGCAAGUCGUGGGGCAGCAUGAACUAGCAAUAGUUUGAUGGCGACCGGCGAAACGGGUGCGGAACACGUACACAACCUCCCGAUAAGUGGGGAAUAGCCCAGAGAAAUUUGGAUUAAUACCCCGUAACAUUGCGAUGUGGCAUCACAUUGCAAUUAUAGCUUCGGCGCUUAUUGAUGGGUGUGCGUAUGAUUAGAUAGUUGGCGAGGUAACGGCUCACCAAGUCUACGAUCAUUAGCUGAUGUGAGAGCAUGAUCAGCCACACGGGCACUGAGACACGGGGCCCGACUCCUACGGGGAGGCAGCAGUAGGGAAUAUUGGGGCAAUGGACGCAAGUCUGACCCCAGCCAUGCCGCGUGCAGGAUGAAGGCGUUAUGCGUUGUAAACUGCUUUU
rnacentral:rRNA from 1 species